rnacentral:rRNA from 1 species
UACAGAGGGUGCAAGCGUUAAUCGGAAUUACUGGGCGUAAAGGGUGUGUAGGUGGUUAUAUAAGUUAGAUGUGAAAUCCCCGGGCUCAACCUGGGAACUGCGUUUAAAACUGUGUAGCUAGAGUAUUGCAGAGGAUAGUGGAAUUUCCAGUGUAGCGGUGAAAUGCGUAGAUAUUGGAAGGAACACCAGUGGCGAAGGCGACUAUCUGGGCAAAUACUGACACUGAGACACGAGAGCAUGGGGAGCAAACAGG